CGAAACUGGCAAACAGUAUAAAUCGGGCCCCUCCUGUUUUUCUUGUCCUUUUUUAAACCGCUAAAGAACUGCUUGUUAAAUAUUCACCAGCCACUAAGUGGGCAGAGCCAGGAUUCAAAUAGAAGUCUCUCCCCAGGUUCGUGCUCUUUCCAGUUUGUCCCCAGGAGCACGGUGGCUCUGUCAUGGGGCCCCAUCGGGCUGUUGGCGACGGGUCCUCAGGAGGCUGAGAGGCUGGGAGAAGGCUCAAGGCUGGCCGUCCAGGGCCCUGUGCCUCCGCCCCAGGGCCCCCGGGAGAUGCCCAGGUAAUAGCAGUCAACGCAUCCCAGACCUUCUCCUUGUCUGUGCUCAGCUCAAGAUUCAACUGAAAUUACAAGGGUUGACUAAGCUGGUGACAGGAUUUAUGAGGGGCUACCCUACCGGCUUGCUGACUUCACAGGUCUGCUGUGAGAUGCUCUGAGGUAAAGGGUGUGACAGCGCUUCCUGCUCAGAUUGUGCCUACUUGGCAGAAGCAUGGGUAUAUCAUCGAUGGUCCGGCCGGCCUGGGCAUAUGUGCACCCCUAGAAGUUGGCAGGGGCAGGAGGGCUGUCCCCAGGUCACACUGCCCACUACUGGCUGUUCUAUCAACUGGCUGUUUGAAACGCCAAGGGUCCAGGCCACGUGACCUCACCCCGUCCCACAACUGCCAAACCACCCUCUGCUGGAACUGGCCUGGAGUCCCCUACUGAGUUGACUCGUCAACUCUUGGCUCUACGGGCUGAGAGCCCAAUCCAUGGCCCUCCAUGCGGGGAGAGGGUCACAGCAACCCUAAGUGAUGGUGUCAUGGGACAAAGAGAGUGACAGUUGGCUCACCGCUGCACUGAGGAAGAGUGGGCAGUCCAAUGACCGGGGACAGAAGAGGCUCCAGGGUGGUCAGCUGGCUUAAGGCUCAGAAGAAUCACGACGGGAGUUCUAUCAAAACCCAGAUGUCUCAGCCCUGGCUGGUAAGAACUGACUGAGCAGAGGUGCAGUGGAGGCCUGAUCAACCACUCUUCAAACAGCUCCCUGGGAGUUCCUGAUGAGCCAAGUCCCUGUAGGACGAGAGAAGGGACUUCCUCUAGGCCACAGAGCCAGCAAAUGGCAGAGCUGGGGUGUGGACACAGGUCACUGGACUGUUCUCUUGUCAUGGGAGUUCCCAAGGUUGCAGGGCAGGGGGCAAAGUACCCACAGCCGUAAGAGCCCAAAGCUGGGCGGUCGUCCAGCUGGUAGCCAGCGGGGAGGUCUGUUCGAGCUGUUCUCCUGCCCCCUGGGAAUAUUCCUGGGUGCUCGAGGAUACAGGAAGGAGAGGCAGCCCUCCCAGUCCCCACAAGGGCCCUGAUCUGGCUUCCAUUCAGGCUCACAAGGUAAAACCUGGUUCAACCAAGAGAAUGGCGAGAGGCCCGUGAGAGCCUACAGGUGUGCCAGGGCUUCCCCUUCGCCCGGGAAGGCGGGUGCCCAGGGAAGAGCACUGCCCAGGUAGGCCAGACGCUUGCUUCUCUCCCCUCUGCACUGAGGUCCCACUUGCCCAUGUUGGAAGCCUUCAGGACGCGACAAUGCUAAGCGAAACUGUACAUCUUGUCAAGUGGUCAGGUUGGCUGGACUCGCUGGUGAGGAAGCUAAGGGAAGCUGUGCGAUGGUGAUGGGGGGAGCCUGGCCCCCAGCUCCAGCUUUACUCCCAGGUUGCCUGUCGAGUUUCUGUAGCUCUUGGGCCUAACUUCUCUCUGCGCUUGUGGAAGCAGUAGGGGAGAGGACUGGGGGUGAAAACGAGAGGAGUUCCGAGACUCCAUCUGGCUCUGACAAUCCAGAAGUACAGGGAAGAUGGAAAUUCCUCAGGGUAUCUGCCCCUACUCUGCUCCUGGGUGGCUGCAGAGCUGCCGGGCCUGAGCCGGGAUGCCACAGACAUGUCAGUGAUGGCCCACAAGACCCAACCUUUGUCUUACAGGUUUGAUCUGCACGAGGCUGCAUGAGCCCAAAGAGCUCUCCCACCAGCCUCGGGAGGGGGGACUGGAGAGAGGGGAGGACGGAGGUGGCACAUUUGGCAAACUUUAAUCACUGCCUCUGUGCAUAUGGUGCGCUCACAGGGAGCUGGGGGGAGGGGGGCAGCGGCGGUUGUGCUGGAUCCCAGUUGGUCCUGAGCACCAGCCCUGGGCCUGGCUGGGUGGGUGACUGAAACCACGCAGGGUGGUCAGAUUCAUUCAGGCAGCGCCUUUUCCAAUGGAGAACUACCCCAAGUGGGAAAUGCUGGGGUGUAAAACACACACACACACAUGCACACGCACAUGCACACAUACACAACAUUAGUUUCAGGGAAAAAUAAAAGCAAAGACAGGAGGUCUUAGAGACAAAGGCCUUCCUGGAAUAAGGGUGUGUGCAUCUGUGAUGUCUUACUUUCCCCGGGAAAAUACUGUGUCAUUAUUUGUCAUUUUAUUUCUUCCAACUAAGAAAUAUACUGAAGGAAACAAAGAGGGAGCAACCAGAGGUGGGGGCUCGAGGAUCCAGGUCACCGCCAGCCAGCUUCAGUUUGGGUUCCAGGCGGGGCGUGCAAAGCCACGGUGUGAGCAGAACGCUGCCAUGAAGGCAUUCCAAGCGGCUUCCAGGAAGCGGCCAUAUGUGCUGACACGCAUGUGGACACAGCAGUCUGGCUGGCCGCCUCUCCAGACUGGUGUUUCCUAGAGCUUUCCAUUGGCAAACGCUGCCUCCUGGAACUGAGGGACAAAGGUUUUGAAAUAAGCCCUGGUGGGAAAGAGGGGGAGAAAAAAAAAUGUGGUUAGCGCAAACAACUUGAAAAAAAGUGCAACUCAGAGCUUUCGGCCUAACUCAGAACAGUUGUUAUUUAUUGUUCCUGCAUCUUGGGUUGGAUUUCCCUUCCCUGCUGAUGCAAAACCCUCUGGAUUUUUCCAAGGGAGGGACAUGCACUUCACGUCUGUGCUAUCUUGCACAGGCUGCUUAAAGGGCCUGUACCCAGCCCUCCCCGGACACCAGCUCCUAGUAGACAUCAGUACUCAGGCUCCCUCUGCCUCUCCUCGGCCAGAGACAAGGGCCUGAUCCCCGCCACAAGCCAGAGUGGCCAAGCCAGUGGCCUAGCCGUUUUUGUGGCUUAAAUGGAAAGAGUUGUAUUCUUCACUCCGUUGGAUCUUUGACUUCCUACAAAGAGGGUCUAAUAAAAAGGGUUUCUAACUGUU